UUAAUACUCCCUCCAUCCGGAAAUACUUGUCCAAGAAAUGGAUGUAUCUAGACUUAUUUUAGUUAUCGAUACCUCCAAUUUAUCCAUUUUGAGAACAAAUAUUUCUAGACGGAGGGAGUACCUA
rfam:Triticum aestivum genome assembly, contig: Triticum_aestivum_CS42_TGACv1_scaffold_361417_4DS